rnacentral:rRNA from 1 species
GAUGAACGCUAGCGGCAGGCUUAACACAUGCAAGUCGAGGGGUAGAAGGAGCUUGCUCCUUUGAGACCGGCGCACGGGUGCGUAACGCGUAUGCAAUCUACCUUGUACAGGGGGAUAGCCCAGAGAAAUUUGGAUUAAUACCCCAUAGUGUAAUGAAUAGGCAUCUAUUUAUUACUAAAGUUCCAACGGUACAAGAUGAGCAUGCGUCCCAUUAGCUAGUUGGUGUGGUAACGGCAUACCAAGGCAACGAUGGGUAGGGGUCCUGAGAGGGAGAUCCCCCACACUGGUACUGAGACACGGACCAGACUCCUACGGGAGGCAGCAGUGAGGAAUAUUGGUCAAUGGGCGCAAGCCUGAACCAGCCAUGCCGCGUGCAGGAUGACGGUCCUAUGGAUUGUAAACUGCUUUUGUACAGGAAGAAACACUCCCUCGUGAGGGAACUUGACGGUACUGUAAGAAUAAGGAUCGGCUAACUCCGUGCCAGCCGCCGCCGUAACAC